GUUUGAUGUUCUAACGUUGACCCGUAAUCCGGGUUGCGGACAGUGUCUGGUGGGUAGUUUGACUGGGGCGGUCUCCUCCUAAAGAGUAACGGAGGAGCACGAAGGUUGGCUAAUCCUGGUCGGACAUCAGGAGGUUAGUGCAAUGGCAUAAGCCAGCUUGACUGCGAGCGUGACGGCGCGAGCAGGUGCGAAAGCAGGUCAUAGUGAUCCGGUGGUUCUGAAUGGAAGGGCCAUCGCUCAACGGAUAAAAGGUACUCCGGGGAUAACAGGCUGAUACCGCCCAAGAGUUCAUAUCGACGGCGGUGUUUGGCACCUCGAUGUCGGCUCAUCACAUCCUGGGGCUGAAGUAGGUCCCAAGGGUAUGGCUGUUCGCCAUUUAAAGUGGUACGCGAGCUGGGUUUAGAACGUCGUGAGACAGUUCGGUCCCUAUCUGCCGUGGGCGCUGGAGAACUGAGGGGGGCUGCUCCUAGUACGAGAGGACCGGAGUGGACGCAUCACUGGUGUUCGGGUUGUCAUGCCAAUGGCACUGCCCGGUAGCUAAAUGCGGAAGAGAUAAGUGCUGAAAGCAUCUAAGCACGAAACUUGCCCCGAGAUGAGUUCUCCCUGACUCCUUGAGAGUCCUGAAGGAACGUUGAAGACGACGACGUUGAUAGGCCGGGUGUGUAAGCGCAGCGAUGCGUUGAGCUAACCGGUACUAAUGAACCGUGAGG
rnacentral:rRNA from 1 species